GCAACACUCCGACGCCAGAGUGUUAUGCCAGUUAUGGAAGAACCUGUCUGAACCCAGAAACUCAGGAAGAGUUUCUCAGUCUGAAACCAGUCUGUCUGACCUCUGGAGAACCCUGGAAGUUCAAUCUGUAAGAUACCUGUCUGCCUAGCUCUCUGCCUGCCCACAGCCUCUGGACCCUCCUGGUUCCCCUCCUCUGCCACUCUGUUCAAACCUUUGUACAGAGAAACCAGUCGUGACCAGUCCUGAAUCUGAUUACCCCCUGACCUGUUAAUUCAAUAAACCUUUGAACUUUUUCUCCUGUUUCCGAGUGUUUCUGCA